CAGCAGUGAGGAAUAUUGGUCAAUGGGCGGGGAGCCUGAACCAGCCAAGCCGCGUGAGGGAAGAAGGUACAGCGUAUCGUAAACCUCUUUUGUCAGGGAACAAAGGCGGGGACUAGUCCCCGGAUGAGGGUACCUGAAGAAAAAGCAUCGGCUAACUCCGUGCC
rnacentral:rRNA from 1 species